UCUGAGCGUGGUCACCAGAGGGUGUUGAGUGUGCGUGUUGAGAUAGAGGUGGAAGUCCAAAAGAAGAAAAAGGCUUGGACGUCAGAGGGCAGGAGCGAGGUCUUGGUCCAGGGAGGCAAGAGGGAAUCCAAAGUGGGUCCAGGUAGACGACGAGGAAGCUGGAGGACGACACAACACGAAAGACCGUCAACUCGACAGGAAGGGAACACAGGGAGCAAGAAGGCUGGAGAUGUGUUGGCUUACUGUACUGAGGCACACCCGCAGCGGAGAGGGAACACCUGUUGAUGUGCUCCGCCAUGCACUCAGUCCGCACAGCAGGAGGAGAAGCAGGAACGUGACCCAUAACACAUUGUGUUUGACUGUGGGACCUUCAAGGUCAUCUGGUUGUCAGAUCUGAGGCAACGACCAAGCCUGGAGCUGAUAGGUUGGUCCAGGAGAUGUUUGAUGUAAGCUGGGG